rnacentral:rRNA from 1 species
GCGGAGAUGAGGUGCUUGCACCUUAUCUUAGCGGCGGACGGGUGAGUAAUGCUUAGGAAUCUGCCUAUUAGUGGGGGACAACAUUCCGAAAGGAAUGCUAAUACCGCAUACGUCCUACGGGAGAAAGCAGGGGAUCUUCGGACCUUGCGCUAAUAGAUGAGCCUAAGUCGGAUUAGCUAGUUGGUGGGGUAAAGGCCUACCAAGGCGACGAUCUGUAGCGGGUCUGAGAGGAUGAUCCGCCACACUGGGACUGAGACACGGCCCAGACUCCUACGGGAGGCAGCAGUGGGGAAUAUUGGACAAUGGGGGGAACCCUGAUCCAGCCAUGCCGCGUGUGUGAAGAAGGCCUUAUGGUUGUAAAGCACUUUAAGCGAGGAGGAGGCUACUGAGACUAAUACUCUUGGAUAGUGGACGUUACUCGCAGAAUAAGCACCGGCUAACUCUGUGCCAGCAGCCGCGGUAAUACAGAGGGUGCGAGCGUUAAUCGGAUUUACUGGGCGUAAAGCGUGCGUAGGAGGCUUUUUAAGUCGGAUGUGAAAUCCCCGAGCUUAACUUGGGAAUUGCAUUCGAUACUGGGAAGCUAGAGUAUGGGAGAGGAUGGUAGAAUUCCAGGUGUAGCGGUGAAAUGCGUAGAGAUCUGGAGGAAUACCGAUGGCGAAGGCAGCCAUCUGGCCUAAUACUGACGCUGAGGUACGAAAGCAUGGGGAGCAAACAGGAUUAGAUACCCUGGUAGUCCAUGCCGUAAACGAUGUCUACUAGCCGUUGGGGCCUUUGAGGCUUUAGUGGCGCAGCUAACGCGAUAAGUAGACCGCCUGGGGAGUACGGUCGCA